UACCGAGUGCGGGCCCCUCGGGGCCCAACCUCCCACCCGUGUUGCCCGAACCUAUGUUGCCUCGGCGGGCCCCGCGCCCGCCGACGGCCCCCCUGAACGCUGUCUGAAGUUGCAGUCUGAGACCUAUAACGAAAUUAGUUAAAACUUUCAACAACGGAUCUCUUGGUUCCGGCAUCGAUGAAGAACGCAGCGAAAUGCGAUAACUAAUGUGAAUUGCAGAAUUCAGUGAAUCAUCGAGUCUUUGAACGCACAUUGCGCCCUCUGGUAUUCCGGAGGGCAUGCCUGUCCGAGCGUCAUUGCUGCCCUCAAGCCCGGCUUGUGUGUUGGGCCCCGUCCCCCCCGCCGGGGGGACGGGCCCGAAAGGCAGCGGCGGCACCGCGUCCGGUCCUCGAGCGUAUGGGGCUUCGUCACCCGCUCUAGUAGGCCCGGCCGGCGCCAGCCGACCCCCAACCUUUAAUUAUCUCAGGUUGACCUCGGAUCAGGUAGGGAUACCCGCUGAACUUAAGCAUAUCAAUA
rnacentral:rRNA from 2 species